rnacentral:Y_RNA from 1 species
GGCUGGUCCCAGUGCAGUGGUAUUUACAACUAAUUGAUUACAACCAGUUGCAGAUUCCUUUGUUCCUUCUUCACUCCCACUGCCUCACUUCAGUGGCCUUAA